CCCUCUCCAGCCGCGUUCUACCGCGCGCGCACACACACACGGUCACGCGCACGCAACGGACUCUUCCCUCCCCCCGCGCUGAAGGCCACAGUCGUUUUAUUUCAUGCUUUCGCUGUUUCGAUUGAUAAAAAAAAAUCGGAGGCCGAUGUCUGAGGAAAACGACUAGAAAAACCAAUCCUAGAAUGCGUAAAUGUAAUUAAGUUACAACAACCCCGGGGGGAGGGGGGACACCCUGUUCUGUUCCGGUGUCGUUGUCUGAAGGCAAUGUUGGGCGGCGGCGUGAGCGGACCCGGCGGAAGGACUUUGCCCGUUGGCGGCUGAAAAAGCAGCAGCUUUUUCACCUGCCCGGUCGAGACAGGCCCGAAGUGGGAAAAACCGCGAAAAGGAGAAUUAAAGGGUCGUCAGGGCGGCAUCUACCGACCCUCAGUCCGCGCCGAGGCCCGAAGCUUUCAGACAAUAACUGCGCUGCCCCAUCCGGCAUAACUGCCUCAGCCUUGGCCCUGUCCACCAAUUACAGGCAAGGAAUUGCCGCGGAGCCGCAUGCGCCAGCCAAUCAAAAAAGCGUUAAGGGCCGGGUGCGUGUACGUCACCGCAAGUAGCAACAGCCGAGCAGAGUCGCCCCUCCCGCAAUAGCCUAACUUGUCAUUUGAGCUGAGGAGGAGGAAGAGAAGGAGAGGAAGUUGUGUGCGGUAGAAUUUCCUCCAGCUGUGAGAGUGUCUGGUUCAAGUUGGCAGGAGCCUGGCUGCUUAUAGUAUGGUUCUUUAUGAACCUAGUGCAUAGUGGUGUAUAGGAUUCGGCUACUAUCAUCAAGCAGCCUGAAGAAUAUGUCGGAGCGGAAGCGAAGCUCCCCUGAAACUGAUCAACAAGCUCUUGUUUCUUGAAAGAAAACAGAUGCUGGAACUUCUCUCAAUACUACAGGAAUGCCAGGAAAAUGUUGUUCAGCAGACUUCCUAAGAAUCCCAGAGAACAGCAGGGAUUUGUUGUUGAAAUUUUUAUAUUAGUUUCUCAACAUAUGGUGCUUCUGGCCUCACCCAUCUGCAGCUGUGGUUCAGACCAGCUCUUUGUUGAUGUGUUACAUCACACAUGCAGUGACUAUUCUAAAUCCACACCCAUUUUCUUAAGAGGCCUGUGCAGCCAAAAUUGUAGUUAAUGUUGAAAUUAUCAUAGCAUAAGUUGCAUUUAAAAGCUGCUAUGAGUUAGAGCCUAUCAGUUUUACUGCUGGUGAAAGAGAAAGAGCCCUUUUUGACAACUGGAAAAUCUACGCCAGGGAUCGUGAUACUCCCAUGGACAAAAACCAGGAAAUGGUAAUAGAAUGGAUAAGAGCCAAUAAACUGAAGCUCAGUCCAGACAAGACUGAGGAGCUGCUGCUCAGUGCCAAAACUGCUAAAGUAUUGAGGAAUCAACCUGUCCUGGAAAGGUUUGCUUAAAGGUCUCCUAAAGAAGGCUAUGGAGCUUAAGGGUACUGCCAGCUUCUGGCCUAUGGCUGGGAGCCCAGAUGGGAGUCAGCGACAAAUAGUACCUUUUAUCAGUUGCAGCUGAUAUGGCUUUUCCUGGAAAAGUGUGAUCUGGCCAUGGUGAUCUGGGCGCUGAUUACAUGUAGGUUAUAUUUAUAUGCUGUAUGUGGAGCUGCCUUUGAGAACUGUCCAGAAACUUCAGCUUGUCCACAGUGUAGCAGCCAGGCUGCUGGAAAAGACAGGAUACAGGGAUCUUAUCUCAGUGUUGAUAGAUCUCCAUCUGCAUUGACUGUCCAUUUCCUUCUGGGCAAAAUUCAAAGUGUUGGAUUUUAUCUUUUAAGGUCCUAAAAUAGUUUGGGUCCCCAGUACUGAAUGACCACCACUUCCCAUAUUGUCCAGCCUGUCAGUUCAAAUCUGCCUCAAAAGCCUUGGUCGCUGUGCCCCCACCUUCAGAGGUGAGGUGGAUGGCAGCCAGAACCAGAGCUUUUCACUUAGGAAACAGGACAACUCACUUAGAAACACAAACCCUUUUAGUUGAUUUUUCUCUGAGAACACUUAAUAUGCUCAGUGGCCUAUGUUUUUAUUCUGUGGUUGGGUUUUUAAUGCUGGAUUUUAAUAACUUCUAAUGUUUUGUUUUUGUUAUGUUUAUUUUGGUAAGCCACUCCAGGCAGGUUCCCUAGAGAGGCAACAUAAACAUCUGCUACAUAAAAUAAUAAGUACCACAGUGAGGACAGGAACCAGUUGAGUUCAGUAUCUUAAUCUCUGUAAAGUAUUCAGCAAGGGCUGUUGUAGUACAAUUACCUAAGUCUUCUUAAAGGAUCUAAUGCUGAAUUUUAACAGAAGGAGAAUACAAAUCAAGGCUUAAAAAUAUCUCAAUAUUAACUUAGGCUGAUGCUUGUCAACGUUUACUUCAUUUUCCAUUUUCAGAUGAUUUUUGGCUCCAAUAAAGCCAUACGGAUACUAGUCUCCUCCCAGUUUAUGCAUCAAACAGUCUGCAUUCUUUUACCACACUUUAUUAUGAAUCAGUAAUAUCAAUAGGAUAUAAUUUAGGUUUCCCUAGUUAAGUUACUGGCUACUUUAUCAUGUGGUGAAGUUAACUAUAUCCUAUAAAGCUCACACCACAUUACAUCUGUCAGUUGUUUCUCACUACAUGGCUUGUGACUUGAUAUGUCUGUGGGCCGUAGAACCAAAUACAAGAAAUUUUUCCCAUGUCUGUGGGCAGUAGAACCAAAUUUUUCCCAUGUCCAUGGGCAGUAGAACCAAAUACAAGAAAUUUUUCUCAAUGUAACAGUAUCACCAUCCAAAUUAAUUGCUUUCAGAUUGUUAAAUAUUGGCUAUUUAAACAGUGUUACUUCAGACUAGCAGUUAGAUCAAAUUAUUGAUAGAACUGUAUGCCAUUCGUAUUACAGAGCACUAGGUUCACUCCAAAGACUGAACUUUGGAGUGCUGGCUUGAAUCUUCUAUCAGUUGCCAAUUCUUUAUUUUUGUCUAACAUAAUCUUUUCCCCAUCAGGACUGGCUCUAUUGGCUCUAAUAGAAGAUUCAUAACUCUAAAGAGCAUACUGUAAGUUUUAAAGCUAAGUAGGUAUAGUUGAAUACCAAUUCUAACAUAUUUAAAAUAUUCUUUUAUACCAUCUUCAAUCGGUGCAAAAGCUGCUGAGUGUAUGAAUGUGUCAAUUUUCAUCUAUAUUUUUUAACUCCAAGACUGGAUGUAGAUGUUGCAAUUACAGUUCAGUAAACACUCUUUUUAGCUGGAAUGGCUGAUAUCAAGCAUACAUUCUACUUUGGCUAUAUAAACUGGCACCAGUCCUGGUGUUCACUGA